rnacentral:lncRNA from 1 species
GGGCUCUCUGGUGUGGGAUCCGAGCUGCUUUCCUCAGACAUUUUGCUCCUGACAGACCCGGUUGAGGGUACGACUGCCACUGAGAUGCAAAGAGCACAGCAGUACCCCCUCCUUUCCUUCCCAGAACAGCAGCCCUUCCCAUUUCUCAGCAUUUGCUGCGUGCAGGCAUCUGCUGCAGCUGCUGCUUCUCUGUGAUCCUGUCUGUUGCCGUCUGUGUUCUGAGAAAGCAACAGUCCCUGAAGUUCCUCCUCCGUCUCAACACAACAGCCCCCAAACCACUGUGGGGGAGUUUGCUUCACCAGUGGUCUCUUCACAAUUACGCUCGAUUCGAGGCCAAAAUCCAUGACCUACGAGAGCAGAUGAUGAACCACAGCAUGAGUUCCGGGUCCGGGU